GCCCGCCUAGCUCAAUCGGAUAGAGCGUCAGACUUUUAAGGCAAUAGUCACAUCUGAAGGCUGCGAGUUCGACCCUCGCGGUGGGCU